GUGCUCACUUUGGCAGUGCAUAUAGUAAAACUGGAAUGAUACAGAGAUUAACAUAGCCCCUGCAAAAGGAUGACAUGCAAAUUCGUGAAGCGUUCCAUAUAAAA
rnacentral:snRNA from 1 species